rnacentral:ncRNA from 1 species
UUUGGCAAACCCGGCGAAAGCCGGCGACGCAAAGCUACAGGGCCUUACCUACCCCCAGGUUGGCAGCCAGCUGC